rnacentral:misc_RNA from 1 species
UCCAGACUGGUUGCAAAACAACGGAAUUUACGGAGUGCACACACACUGCAUUAUAAACCGCGGGAGUCGGUACUACACCAAAAAUUCCACGAAAUUUGUUUUAUUUUUUGUUACGAAACAACUUUAAAAUUGACUAUUUUAGUUUUGUGUUGUACGUUUUUUUAUUAAUCGCUGUUUUAUGUUAAUAAUUUUAGUUUUUUUCUGCAAAUUGUUGAACAGUGUUGAUUUUUAUUGUACAAAUGAUGUUUGUUGUGUUUUAUCAAGUGUAUUAAACUAAGGAUUCUUAACUUUUAACUUAUUGGGCCGAUAUGCAGCUUUGACAAACUUUCAACCAGAAUAAGUCAUACACUUCAAAAUAACCGUUCUACGAAAUUAUAGAUACCUAAUAGCUUCACAAGAUAUAAAAUCAAGGCGUGAGUAAAAAUAUGUCGAAAAUGCUACCCAACUAAUCUAAGAUCAAUUACUUGCUGAUAAGAGGAUUCCAUAUUUACGACUAAGCUAUGGCAGAAGGUAAUGGUGAGGUACCGGAAGAAUCAAUGAAGAUCGACGUCGAACGUACUGAAGACUACCAGAAGCUGCUGGAAUAUGGCCUUGACGAGAAAGUUGCCGCAAAAUUGGAUGAGAUCUAUAAGACUGGCAAGCUAGUACACGUUGACCUAGACGAAAGAGCGCUUGACGCCUUAAAAGAAUUUCCCGUAGAUGGGGCGCUCAACGUUCUAGGUCAGUUCCUGGAUUCCAACUUGGAGCACGUGUCAAACAAAUCGGCGUACCUAUGCGGAGUCAUGAAGACCUACAGACAGAAGAGCAGAGCGGGGACCAGCGGCUCGGCGGGUGCGGCCACUCCCGCGCCAGUGCCCGUCAAGGGACCCGACCACGAUAAGAUCAAAAAAAUAUUAGACCGAACCGGAUAUGCUUUAGAUGUUACUACCGGUCAACGAAAAUUCGGUGGUCCCCCACCAGAUUGGGAAGGUGCGCCGCCAGGUUCGGGAUGCGAAGUAUUUUGCGGCAAAAUUCCCAAAGACAUGUAUGAAGAUGAGCUGAUUCCAUUAUUCGAGGAAUGCGGCCACAUAUGGGACCUUAGACUAAUGAUGGACCCGAUGACGGGUACCAAUAGAGGAUAUGCCUUUGUAACAUUUACAAAUCGGGAAGCAGCCCAAAUAGCCGUCCAAAAGUUGGAUAAUCAUGAAAUCAAACCUGGAAAGAAUCUGAAAAUUAACAUUAGCGUGCCAAAUCUACGUCUUUUCGUCGGAAACAUUCCAAAGUCAAAAGGCAAAGAGGAGAUCUUGGACGAAUUUGGUAAAUUGACAGCCGGCCUGAUGGAAGUGAUCAUUUAUUCGUCGCCCGACGAUAAGAAGAAAAAUCGUGGAUUUUGCUUUUUGGAAUAUGAAUCACAUAAGGCAGCAUCUUUAGCAAAACGAAGGUUGGGCACAGGGCGUAUUAAAGUUUGGGGCUGCGAUAUUAUCGUAGAUUGGGCUGAUCCUCAAGAAGAACCAGAUGCCCAAACUAUGUCUAAGGUUAAGGUCCUCUACGUAAGAAAUUUAACACAGGAAAUAAGUGAAGAAAAAUUAAAAGAAGAAUUUGAACAGUUCGGCAAGGUGGAGAGGGUGAAGAAAAUCAAAGAUUACGCUUUUAUACAUUUUGAAGAUAGGGAUAAUGCCGUUAAGGCAAUGGAAGCCUUAGAUUCUAAAGAAUUAGGGGGUUCAAAUAUUGAAGUGUCAUUAGCCAAACCUCCUUCUGAUAAAAAGAAAAAAGAAGAAAUACUUAGAGCCAGAGAAAGAAGAAUGAUGCAGAUGAUGCAAGUUAGAGGAGGCAUGAUGCCUGGAACUAUGCCCAUGAGGGGUCCCCCUGGAACUUCAGGCCCAAGAGGGACAGGAAGUAUGAGAUCAGCGCCGAUGGGAAGGGGUGAUUACGAUUACGAUUACGACUAUUACGGUUACGGGGACUAUAGAGGCGGCUACAGUGAUCCCUAUUAUGAUGAUUUUUACCGGUAUGAAGAUUACUAUUACGAUUAUCAGCCGGCCCCAACACCAGCGAGAGGAAGGGGUCGGCAACCAGCACCGGAACUGGAUGAAGGAGUCACGUCAGGUGUAUUCUACGAUCUUAGCAGUGGAACACAGGCUGGCCGUGGGCGUGGGGUGGUGGCACGUGGCCGGGCAGGUGGCCCCCCAGCCCGUGGGGCGGCAGCCAACAGAGCGGGCCGGGGCGGAGCAACAGGGGCCCGUGGGGCAGCACGCCAAGCCGCUCGUGGAGUGGGCCGCGCCAAGGCAAGUUUACCAGUUAUGUUAGCAGUUGCCUAAAUUGCCCAGUUCCCAUCCCUCUUUCCUCUGAAGUUUGAGAAAUGUAGUUUUGUUCAUAAUGCACAGGUAAGCGAAAGUUUGACGGGGGUCACCAGAACCAGGGGGAGACAAAGCGCCGAUACCAGAGCAACUGGGGGAGCCAGCCCCUUUCACAACAGCCGCUGGGGGCGGACGUGAACGGCGAACAGCAGGCAUGGUACCAGGAUUCCUACGGCUCCUGGAGCUAAGUGAUAGGACUUGAACGCCCGCAGUGGGACUGAGUGUGAGUGGCCCUACGUCAAAAAAGGAGGGCGAUAAACAAGGCCAGAGCACACCCUCUAGUGCCUGCUAUAGAAGGGUGUUGAAUAUAACUCCAAAUGAAUUCUUGGGCAACGAGUUUUGUUUAAAGAAGAUGGUGAUCGACAAAUUUAAAAUGUUGUAGCGUUUGAACGCAGUUUUAGAUUUGAAAAUCUAAUUAAAAAUUUGUUCGCAUGAGGUAGAUUGGUCUCUAAAAAUAUUUUAAAAAUACCUCUGUUAUUAAAUUAUUAGUAAUAUCACUUGAAAUUUUAAUAGAACGUUCGAUUUUGUUGAAAUUAAAAAAGUUUGUUGUACUACUAAUGUGAUUGAUAUAUUUUAAAGACCAAACGAAAUGAUAAAAUUCUAGUUAGGUACUAUAUUUAUUGGAAAAUAUAUUUAAAAUUAUUUAUUGAUGAAAAGAUGCCACAAAAAUUCAGGAGGAGUCAUAUUGCGGCAGAUUUGAUAAGCACUUGUAGUGCGCGCCAGCCUGAUAGCUGAUGGUGUCCCCAAUUCUACGUUAAUUAUUACCUAUUCUGCAUUCGUUUUUUAUUAAUUUUAAAAUUUUUGAAUUGUUAUUGGUACUUUCAAAAUUCUUUUGCUGUACGUUUGUUGUUUUGGAAUUAAAAUUUAUUCAAUUAAAUUGGUUAAGUUACUUGGCAUUAUGUUUUACUAUGUGUUGUUUUGGGGUCGGAGAUUUUUAGAACGGAACUAUUACACUUCUCCAAGAAAUUAACGCACCUACUUAAAAAAUUGGUCAUUUUUAAUGUCUCGAAUUUCCUAAACCUGUUGUCCGAUUUAAGUGAUUUUUUUUAACAUGUUUUUUAACCUUAUUCUUUAUCAAUAGGGCUUUUCAUCGAUUUUCAUUUGUUUCGAGCCUCUGUCAUUAUGUUGUAUAAUCUGUGUAUAAUAUUAAUAUACAUGGAUUAUACGACAUAAUAUACACGGAUUAUACGACAUAUGACAGCAGCUCGAAACAAAUGACUGUGAAUGAAAAGCCCUAUAUCGCUGUAAUAAUAUUGCUGCUACAGGGAAAUUGUCAUUGUAUACCGGGUGAUUUUUCUCAAAGUUCGCAUCACCCUGUGGAAUAUUCUAGCAUUUAUAAAAUACUAAAAUUAAAACCCAACUAUAGCCUCAUGUUUUCUUAACAUUAUGUUUUUUGAUUCAUUCGCUUUGAUAAUAUAAAAUUUACGUAAUUUAUCAACUAGCCUUGUUUUUCAUCAAUACGGGGUGUUUUUAAAUAAGUAUGGCAAACUUUAAAGGGUAAUUCUGUCUGGAAAAAUAAUGACAGUUUGCUUUAUAAACGUAUGUCCGCAAAUGCUUCGUUUCCGAGAUAGGGGGUGUUGAAAUUUUUCUUACAAACUGACGAUUUUUAUUGUUCUACGACCGGUUAAGAUAUGCAUAUGAAAUUUGGUAGGUUUUAAGAGGUAGUUAUUGUGCAUUUUUUGACAUACAAUUAAGAAUUUUAUGUUCACCAUUGGUGCACAUAAGGGUCAUAUUACCCGUAUGCGCGCCAAUGGUGAAUAUUAAAUUGCUAAUUGUAUAUCAAAAUAUGAACAAUAACUACCUCUUAAAACCCAUUAAAUUUCGUUUGCAUAUCUUAACCGGUUCUAGAGCAAUAAAUAAAUCGUCAGUUUGUAAGAAAAAUUUCAACACCGCCUAUCUCGAAAACGAAACAUUUGCGGACAUACGUUUAUAAAGCAAACUAUCAUUAUAUUUUCAUGCAGAAUUACCCCUAAAGUUUGCCAUACUUAUUUAAAAACACCUCGUAUUGAUGAAAAACAAGGUUAGUUGUUAAAGUACCUAACUUUUUAUUAUCUAACAUAAGCGAAUUAAUAAAAAAAAACAGAAUAUUAAGAAAACAUGAGGCUAUAUUUGGGUUCUAAUUUUAGUAUUUUAUAAAUGCUAGAAUAUUCCACAGGGUGACGCGAACUUUGAGAAAAAAUCACAGUUUGAUUGGUACAUCCGGUAUACAAUGACAAUUUACCUGUCUAGCAACAAUAUUAUUACAGCGAUAUUGUUCAUGAAUAAGGCUACAUGUUAAAAAAAUCAUUUAAAUCGAACAACAGGUUUAGUAAAUUCGAGACAUCAAAAAUGAUCCGUUUUUAAGGUGGUGCGUUAAUUUCUUGGAGAAGUAUAUUUAGAUAUAACCCAAAUUUUUUGACUUUUAAAUUGUAGGGCGUUGUUGAAAAUUGUCUAAAAAUCUUUGACUUAUCGGGCAAAGUGCGUUCCCCUGUUCUGGCGACUACUAUAAUUAUUCUCGGGGCGCAUGUGCCUAUUCGUUGAUAGUCUUAUUUUUAUAUUAUAAACGGCUAAGCGGUUUGUUCCCCGUCUUACGCCGUAUUUAAAUGUUUUUUAUCUACUGAAUUAAAACGAGCGGUCUAAUGUAUUCCAAGGUGUCACAUCACUGCGUCAUUUCGUGUUCUUUAAUAUAAAUAUGUCAAUUUUAUUAUUUAAUUUUUAUUAUAUAGUUUGAAUUCGUUAAUAACUGAUAAAAGCAUGGGUUUGGCACUGAGGCACUUUGGCGACAGUCUAUUGUUCCUUGUUUGUUUUGGAGAAUCGACUGUUCUAACUGGCAUAGAGGGACUCUACUCGGUUCAUGCUAAAUGCAGGACAGAUUAAAACGGCGAGCACUUGCUGGUUGUGUGGAAAACGUAUAUAAAUAUAAAUUUUCAGAUGUAUCGGAAGGCAUUAAAUGAUUUGCAAUCUAUUUUAGUCUCUCCUGCAUCGUUAAUAUCGUUCCUCAUGGACAGAGUAAGUUUUAUUGUAUGUAUAAUAUAAUUAUAUAUUUUAUUCUUGGUAAUGCAUUUUUGCAUUGUGAUGAUUGUAUUUUAGCAGUAAUUUAUGGAGUUCAAAGCAUAUACUUCUGUUUUCCGGCACAGUUAGUAACGUUAACUAAUAAAGUUAAAAUAGCGAUAUUGCUUGAAGUAAAGUAGUUCCCAUUUUGGUCUUUUUUUAUAUCUUCUUUUAUUAAGCAAAGCAAUAGUAAUGUGUAGGUAACAACGGGACAAAAUAGGAGCUACUUAUUUCACCUUUUUUUUUAUAUUGUCAUGUAGUUUAUUUUUUGUAAGCGGUCGCAGGCUCCGAUGAGGAUUACAGCUAAGACAUUCAUUUGCAAUCAUAGAAUCAUUUAUGACGAUAAUUAUUAUAUUAAUUUAAUUCUGGUUUUACAUCCAUUUUUGCUUAAGCUUUUUGGUAUUUUGUCCCUCUCCGAUACAUUAAUACUAAGAAACUUUCAGUUAUAUUAUUUUUUCGAUUUUAGUGUGAAGUAGCUAAUCUUUCAAUAUUUGUACCAUAAAUGCCUAAAUAGUAACACGUUUUUGCAAUUUUAAUACAACACAAAACCAUACUACUGUAAAGAGUCCAAGCAUUCGCAGAAGACACUCGUGUUUAAGAAGUUUUCUAAAAUCGGGCGCAAAAUUACAUCUGGACAAAAAAUGAAUCCUUUUUGGGUACGAGUGGUGCUCUUUGAAUGUGUUCCUGAGAUGCGUUUUAUGCAAUUUCAUACUGUACUGUAUUUCAUUAUUGGUAUAAUUUAGUCGAAGCCCCUUGCCUGCUUCAGACAUUUUGUUAUUUGUAUCAUCUAUCAAUUAUGAGAGGACUGAUGAUUUAUAAUGUCUCAAUAAACAGUUGUAUGUGUAUUACAAUUUUACUAA